rnacentral:rRNA from 1 species
UACGUAGGGGUGCAAGCGUUGUCCGGAAUUAUUGGGCGUAAAGAGCUCGUAGGCGGUCUGUUGCGUCGGCUGUGAAAACCCGGGGCUCAACCCCCGGGCCUGCAGCCGAUACGGGCAGACUAGAGUUCGGCAGGGGAGACUGGAAUUCCUGGUGUAGCGGUGAAAUGCGCAGAUAUCAGGAGGAACACCGGUGGCGAAGGCGGGUCUCUGGGCCGAUACUGACGCUGAGGAGCGAAAGCGUGGGGAGCGAACAGG